rnacentral:rRNA from 1 species
CCUACGGGUGGCAGCAGUAGGGAAUCUUUCCCAAUGGGCGAAAGCCUGACGGAGCAACGCCGCGUGCACGAUGAAGGCCUUCGUGUUGUAAACUGCUUUUAUAAGCGAGAAAUAUGAUGGUAACUUAUGAAUAAGGAUCAGCUAACUACGUACCAGCAGCCGCGGGCAUACGUAGGAUCCGAGCAUUAUCCGGAGUGACUGAUGGUAGAGAGUUGCGUAUGUGGCAUAAUAAAUAGCUAUUGAAAUCAGGUGGGUCAAACAUUCAGACUAUAAGCUAAACUGUUAAGCUCGAGAACGUGAGAGGUAAGUGGAAUUACUAGUGUAGGAGUGAAAUGCGUAGAUAUUAGAAGGAACACCAAUAGCGUAGGCAGGUUACUGGGACGGUACUGACACUAAGGCACGAAAGCGUAGGGAGCAAACGGGAUUAGAUACCCGUGUAGUC